AUGCCCAAAAUGAAUUGAAUGUAUCUCAAGAACUACAGAGUUUAUUUUAAUUGUUUUGGUAUCAAAACAAAGGCAAGACCCUAGAGAAUAUGUUACAGCUCUAAAAACCACCCUGCCUGUUACUGAGGAAAGUAAAUUAAUAUGAUACAAGCAGAAAUUAAGAAAAAAAAAUCUAUUUCCGCCUAAAAAAAACAGUUCAAUCUAUUAAGAUUCCUUUCAAAGCAAUGCAGAUGAAAUCCAAAACAUGUAGUAAACAGUACACAGUCUGACCUUUUACUGUGCCAAGUUUCAUGAAAAAAAAGUUAAUCAUAUGAGUUUUAGAGAGGUACUACAACUAAUAUUUCCACUUGGUUGAUAAAAAUCUAGGCGGACCUUCCAAAUUAGCCAUUUUGGCACAAUUUGUGCCAUUUGAACUUUCUCUUUUUUUUUCUGUAGGUUCUGUUUCAAUCAUUUAUUCUUACCAUAUAAUACAUGAUUAUUUAUCAUAGACAAGUAAUUACAUCUAAUAAUUGUUUUUGGAGGUUCCCUUUAAAAAUCCGCAUUGCAUGCAUUCAUAAAAAGAGAAAAAAAUAGAUAAAUUGUAAUAGUCUGAAAAUGGAACAGAUUAACUCACAAUAACAUUUAAAAUAGAAUUAUAUAAUAAUGAAAAUGCAAAUAGCAAUGAAAACUAAUUUGUCAAAAUGAUAUGAUCACAGGAAAAAACUAAUAUAUCUCAAAUUACAUUACAAUAAUGAACUCUGCACUUUGCACUCUGCGCGUAAAAUCAUGCAGUUCUCCAUUCAAACAUUCAAAAUUAUGCUCUAAUAAGGAAUAAUCCUUAUAAGGAAUAAUCCUUAUUAGAGUAAAUAUUUCCACUUGGUUCGAUAAUCCAUUUUCCCUGCGACCAUCUCACAUUGUUUUCGGCUCUGCCCAGAGCCUCUUCUGUCUCCUAGCUACUAUAUACAAAAUCUAGAGGCAAACUCCGUGAAUGCGUUUUCCUCGCUGUAAUUGGUGAAUGGCUUUAGGUUCCGUAUUAAUGUCAACGCCCUCGGAUUCUAUUGGUCAUAAGACCACGAAACAGCAAAGGUAGGACUGAAUUUAUGUUUUUAGUUUCGUGAAAUUAGCUAUUUCUUUUUUUCUUCUUUAGCUGCUGGUUCAGUGAGUUUUGCACUAGCGUGGUGACUCUGGUAUUGUUGGAAACAGCAGAGCUUCGGCUUUACUCUGAUAGAUAGUUUGUGGGCAUUGGGAAUCGUUGCUCUUCCAUUGUUGCGUUUUUUACCGGAUAUGCCUCGUUAGCCUCGUUAGCAUCUAAUUGCGUUUCUUUUUAUCAAGCUGCUUAGUGUUCAAGCUGGGUGUUGUUGAGGUAGAAAAUAUUAUUUCUAUCAUUUAGAAGAGCUUUUUCCCGAUAUGUGGAUAUGCAAUAUGCCUAUAUUGAUAAAUGUAUAGCAUGUGUUUUCAACCGAUCUUGUUCCGGCAAGCGCCGAGGACCCAAAUUUGGGUCCUCUAGCGAAGGAGGCGUUUUAAAGAUAACUGGACAGAAUUUUCCCCCUUGUUAAUUUGCCAUUUCUCUUUCAUACAUUUUAUUCAAUGUUAGCUUUCAGGGCCCUGUGAUGGAUUGGUGACCUGUCCAUGGUGAGCCCUGCCUCUCAUCUGAUGACUGCUGGAGAUGGGCACCACCAGCCCCCUCACCACUCUGCAAGGGUCAGUAUGUUCAGAUCAUGGAUGGAAAGAUUUUAAGGCAAAGAAGACACACAAAAAUGUUUUUCCACCCCAGGCAUCCGGUCCCAAUCAUCAUCAGUUCUGAUGAUGUCACAUACACAGCAAGUUCACAACGUCUUAAAAUUGUUUCUGUAAAGUGCAGUGGUCCAGUGAAUGGGAAUGUUCUGUCG